rnacentral:tRNA from 1 species
AAUUAGAUGGCUGAAAAACCAAAGCAAUGGUCUCUUAAACCAUUAUUAACAAUAGUAGACCAAGGUACUACUUCUAAUUG